AUAUAAUUAGGUUUUCUUAAUCUCAAUUAAAUCUAAUCAAAUUAGUGAAUUAAUUAAGCUAUAGACUUGGUCAAAUCAGGAUCAUUUCUCUCUUACUGAUUAGGUCAUCUCAUAACCUAAUCAAACCUGACCUGAUUGAAUCCAAUUCAAUCAGACUUGAUCCAAACUUUAAUACUCAAUCAAAUUGAUUUAAUUAGUAAUCUAAUCACUAAUUAAUCAUUAAUUAAUGAUAGAGUCUCAAUCCAGUGGGACUCUUCAUCAGAGUCCCAGUCCAGUGAGACUCUUCAGAUCAGUCAUC
rnacentral:lncRNA from 1 species